rnacentral:tRNA from 1 species
AAAGUUUUAGUAUAUUUAAGUUAGUAUAAACUAUUGUCAAUAGUUAGGUUUAAACUUUA